rnacentral:lncRNA from 12 species
AACUCACACCUUCGUGGAAGGCAGGAGACAAACCUGCCAAGUGCUGAGCUACUGCAGGCCGGCUGCAACCCCGCCCUGGUAUUCUCGCCUGCGGCCUGGGGCGGACGCUGCGGAGCGCAGGCUGCCCGGCGGCUGGCUCCUGGUUGGGCUCCGCCAAGAGGGGGCGCUAGAGGGGCUGGAGGAGGAAGGAGCCGCUCGCCCCUUGCCGCUUGCUCCUUGCGGGGCUGCCGGGCUCCUCCCGUGUCUUACGAGCCUCCCGCGCAACCCGCCUCGGCCCAGACGGCUGCACUGCCUCAGCAGCCUCAGCAGCCUCAGCCUCUGACCUGCAUUUUCCCCAACUUGCAGAAUCCUCACCCUCGCUCCAUCUCCGAGACGGCGGCAGCAACCUCGCCUUCCCGCCUCUCCAUCCCGGAGGCACGCAGCGAAGCGGAUCCCCCUCCGAGGCCCAGGCUUCAGCUGCAGGGCGCCCCCUCCAGGUGUCCACGUCGGGCCUUUGGUUCACUCAUCCCUGGGCUUCUGUCUGCGGCCCGCGGUGAAGAAACUAAUGCACAGAAAAUUCUAGCAACAAGCCAGAAAUUAAACAGCUGGAAUAGAAGUUUAUAUGUUUUUGGUUGUCAUUUGCAAACAGGCCAGAUCUAACCAAGAGACACCCGUAAUCACACCUAAUGAAGAGGAAAUGGAAAGUUAAAAGCCAGAGAUAAGCCACUAUUUCUCAUUCACCACCACUUUCAACUUCUCUAAACACCAAAUCUUUCCUUAAAAUUUGAGUAAGUGAACAGAACUAGUAAAUAUGGAGCUUCAUUACAUGGUAGACUGUGUUACAACAGCUCUGCUUUUUUCAAAUCCUGCUAUUUCUUCUACAAAUCCACCAAAAUAAGAGCUAGUAAACCUGAAGUAGCUAAAAUACCAAAGUCAAGGAAACAUGGCAAAGUCCUAUGUGCUUCAGGAUCUUCUGGUAAAUAUUAUAAGAAUCUGAUUUAGGGGCACCUGGGUGGCUCAGUGGUUGACUGUCUGCCUUUGGCUCAGGUCGAGAUCCCAGGGUUCUGGGAUCGAGUCCUUAUAAGGCUCCCUACAUGGAGCCUGCUUUUCCCUCUGCCUGUGUCUCUGCCUCUC